GUCUCGUUUUAUCAAUUAUUCUCUUUCCACCAAACCCUCCUUGGCUUCCUGACGCCCCGAGUCCGUGCCACGCCAACUCACACCCCGAGUCGAAAAGGCACCUCAGUUACGUCUCAGCUAGCAAGGGGGAAGGACGUCUCUCCCUCUCGCGCUCCCCGGCCACGCUAUGCGCCCCGCGUUUUUUGUCUUCGCUCGAAGUAUUUGAACAAACUAAACCAUAAGAUACUUUAAUUUACAAAGAAGUUAUAUAUAUAUAUAAAGACAGUCAAGAUAAAUACAAAAUAGUGAAAACAGUGAAGUGAAUAUAUAACCAAGAAAACACAUAAAAAUAACAAAAGAAAUGCAUCGAAAUAAAACAAGAUUUCGCAAUAAUUAACGCAAGAAUUCCAAGGUGACUCUACAGAGCAGUAUUUGAUAGAGCACUACCAUGUGACAUAGAUCCUCGGUCUAACGUACGUGCGUCUCUCAAGUGGACAUGUGAACCCUUCCUCACGCGGUGUCCUCUUCAGAGCGACAGAAGAGACAGCGAGAGCAAGAGAGUGAGAGAGAGAGAGAGAGAGAGAGAGAGAGA
rnacentral:lncRNA from 1 species